AACACUCACAGAAGGUGUCAUGAUAUUAUCAGCAUCACUAACCGAAGGCAGGAGAAAUGUGACGGUGCAGCCUGGACAGCCUGAGAACACACAGGUUCAUACCUUGUCUGAUUCCUUCCUCUCCUUGAAGCAAGGCAGUUCAUCUCUCCAGAUACAAAUCAUAAUUACCAGAGACUGGUGGGAAAGAGCCCAAAUUCAAAUGAAUACAUACAUACCUAUGUGUGUGUGCACGUGUUAUUCAAGUACUGCCUGUCAAAGCUGGAGGGAAGCUUUUAAAUAAAGUCAUGGAGAAUGUCAA